GACGAACGCUGGCGGCGUGCCUAAUACAUGCAAGUAGGACGCACAGUCUAUACCGUAGCUUGCUACACCAUAGGCUGUGAGUUGCGAACGGGUGAGUAACGCGUAGGUAACCUGCCU
rnacentral:rRNA from 1 species